GUCACCCAUCAUUGUUCAGUACAUUGAUGAAGUGUGGAAGGACAAGGCUCCAUUGCUUCCCUCUGAUCCCUACCAGAGAGCUCAAGCUAGGUUCUGGGUAGAUUUCAUUGACAAGAAGGUAACUUUGUUGUUGAUUUUCUGAAGUAUGUUUAUGGGUAUUUUUUCAAUUUUAGAUUUAAUUGUAAUUUUAUUAAAAUAGAAGCCGAAAUUUUGUUAUUAAAAUAUUUCAUUGUCGAGUAGAUGUCAUGGAUUUGUUGUUUGACUACAAAUAAACAGGGAUUGCAUUGAACGGAGGGGGAAAAGAUGUCCCCUACAGAGUUGAAGAUUUUGGUUGUUGCAGGACUAUGAUGCAGAUAUUAUAAACUUUAGUAGGUUGCAGCAAAAAAUCAGUAAAUCUGAGAGGCCAACGAUGAGGAUCAUAGUGAGAAUACUAUAAACUAGAGUAGGCUGAAUAUUUGCAGUUAAAAGUCUAGUUUCAGUAGUAAGGGUAGUAAGUAGUGGCCUUCUUAAUGUUUAGCUCUUGGUUUGAGCUUUAGUGGGUGUGAUUUUACAAAUAUAUAUAUAUAUAUAUAUAUAUAUAUUUUUAAGGAAUAGCUGGAUGUCUGUGGGAUCUAUAUUUUUGAGAUGGUAAAAUCUAGUCUUGAAAAUCUUAAGAUAUGCUUAGAAGUUAGUAAAAUUUCAAUUCAGUCCUUUAUUUUUCUGGAUGUUUCUUGGCCUCUACAUAGUUUUGCAGCUAAGUGUAAGACUGUAACCUACCUGUUGCUGAUUUUGUUGUCUUGAAAUGGAUACUGAACCUGAAUGUGUUAAAUUUUAUCCAUUUUCGGACAGAUUUUCUGAUACAAUAUUGAAAGUAAAUUGCAGAUGUACGAUUCUUCGAGGAAGACAUGGACCACAAAGGGAGAAGAGCAGGAGGCAGCUAAGAAGGAGUUCUUUGAAGUUCUGAAGACUUUGGAAGGGCAGCUUGGAGACAAGCCUUUCUUUGGAGGAGACAAUUUUGGGUAUGUGGAUUUAAGUUUGAUCCCAUUCUAUUGUUGGUUUUACACGUAUGAGACAUGUGGAAAGUUCAGCGUCGAGGCUGAGUGCCCCAAGUUCAUAGCUUGGGUGAAGAGAUGCUUGCAGAGGGAGACUGUUGCCAAGGCACUUCCUGAUGGGAAGAAAGUGUUUGAAUUUGUUUCAGUGAUGAGGACAAAUUUAGGAUUGGAGUAGAGAGAAAAAGGGACAUACCUAGGAGCUGAGAAUAAGUCAAGCAGCGCAAUCGUGCUGCCUGCUUAUUCUUUAGGUGGUUGAUGUUGGUUUGGCUUGUGAUGGUUGUUUUCCUAUUGUGUUUUUGUAUUCGGAUUGUUGUAUUUCCCUAGUAAAAAUAAGCUCCAAUAAUCCAAUAAAGGACAAUUAAUUUUGUCCCCUACUGUUGUUAUCUUAGUGUAUGGUAAUCACGAAGAGUGUGUUUAGUAUAUUGAAUUGUGUAUUUUUAUUGUAUUAUUUUAAUAUAUGUGUAUUAUAUUAUGUUGUAUUAUAAUAAUAUUGUAUAAUAUUUGGUGUUGCAUUGUAGGAUCCACCUAUGUUACAACAGUGGUACUAUACCACAAUUUUUGUCCUCAUUUAAUAUAGCCAUUGGAUUUAAAGCAACCAAUCGAAUGGAGAAGAGAUGGCCAUGUUUGUGUUGUAUAAGACCGGAGAAAUCGAUUAAGAAAAAGUAAAUUUGGAUGUGAUGAAAUACGGUGACUCACCUCUCUCCGAACGCAAGAUUACUGUUAUCAAGAAGGAAAUUUGAGGAAUUUAUGAAGUCCAGGUGAAAAUCAAAGGAAGCCCCUGCCAAAGGCCAAAUGGAUAAAGGGACAAUCUUAUGCACCGUUUUCUUUUCUAACGCUCCUCUUUCUCUAUAUCCAUAAAUCCUGACCAAAUUUGCUCUCUCAUCAAACAUCAAAAGAUAUCUCAAAUCAUUUCAUGGUGGAGUUCUUUAAUUUGUUCAUUGCUCUAUAGUCUUGUGCAGCUUUAAUAUAUCUCAUGCUGCAAUUUAAUUUGUUAUUUUAUUCUGAAAAUCAAAUUGAAUAAUUGUUGCAGUCACGUAUAUAUGCUGGGUUUCUUCACAUCUUCCUCGUUGGCUUGAAGUUUUGUUCACUGAAAAGUUCUUCCACGCUUGCAUAAUCCACGAAGACGAAAGAAAAAAUGAAAAUGACUUAUAUUGCUUGGACAAUUGCACUAGCUUAUGCCCUCAUUGUUUGUCCUUUCAUGCCUCUCAUUGUUUCUCGAUUUCCUUAUGCAAGGCCAAUCUUCAUUUAUUCUGCAAGAAUUUUAUUGCAUCUUCCUCCUUCAAUCCAAUGCUCGUUGCAAUUAAAUUAACCAACGACUCCUCGUUACCAAUCUCACUUCUCUGAUUUCAUGUGUGCCUAAAAAUUCAGCACCGACUUCCGAUUGCCCUUUGCCUUGUUGAUUAUAAGUUCGUCGUCGAUUGCCUACAAGACACACGCCAUAUUCACAUUACGAGUCAUCAUAAAUUUUUAAUUGCGACAAACAUAACUAAACCCUAAUUCCAAUUUUUUGUCUUAUUUUGCUGUCUCCAUAUCGAUUUGAGAUGAAAUCAGUUCCAUUGAUGCAGUACAACAAACUUUCUCACCACAAGCUCGCAAAUGAUAUUACAUUACAUUAAAACGCAACCGGCUCCAACGGUUGCAGGUUGCCGCAUCAAUUAUCUAAUAAUUAAUUUCAGCCAUUAAAUUGACCAGUAAAACAUCCAACGACUCAACUGAAUAAAGAUAAAAACUGUGGUAUGAUACCACUGUUGUAACGUAGGUGGAUCCUGCACUGUAUUAUAUUAUAUUUUAUGAUAUAUUAUAUUGUAUUAAUUUUUAUGAUUAAUUUAAAUUAUAUAUUUAAAAAAUAGUAAUUAUUAGUACUUAAAAAAAAUUAUAAAAAUAGAGGUCUUAAAUUGUAACAAUUUGUUUUAGUGUAAAUGUUAAAUUUUAUUGAGAAAUGAUGACAACAAUUGUCUUUUUUUAAACAAAUUUGUAAACUCAAAUUUAGUUAUCAACAAGGGUUGUACAACCAUUGUCUUUUUAUAAACAAAAUUCUAAACACUUGUUUUUUUAUAAACAAAAUUCUUAAAAAAAUAAUUAUCAAUAAUGGUUCGUAUAGCAUAAUAAACUAAAAAUUUUGUGAAGGCAUUCAAUCUCAUCUCAAACAAAUUUCAUCCAUCAUUGUCGUCUUCAACCAAUCUGAAAAAUCAAACCCCCUGAAUCAAACAUACAAAGGAACUAAGGGAGGCAGCGGCUGCGCCUAUUAGUGGUUAUAUGAAGAUGGUGAAGAAAUGGAGAAGAUGACAAACAAGAACCUUAGAAAAAGAAGGAACAGAGAAGACGAAAAAGAAGAGGGGAAAAGGAAAAAAUAAAAAUAAAAGAAAAAUGAGAGAGAGAAACACAUAAGACGAAGAAUAAGAGGGGGAAAGGGAAAAAAAUAAAAGAAAAAAGAGAGAGAGUGAGAAUCAGAGAAAACGAAGCAGAAGAGGGCAAAAGGAAAAAAAUAAAAGAAAAAAGAGAGAAAAACAGAGAAGAUGAAGAAUAAGAGGGGAAAAGGAAAAUAAAAAAUAAAAGUAAAAAGAAAGAGAGAGAAAUAGAGAAGAUGAAGAAGAAGAAGCUAAUGCGGUAAAAACCCGAGUCUCACUCGGGUUUCGUUAUGCGGGGUUUCCUACAUUAAUUUUUUUUCUUAAUGCAAUAACGAAGAAGUGCCAAACAUUGUAUUGUGAUGGACCAAUCUACGUUACAGAAUGUGUAACGUACACACCCAAUGGGAAAUAGCACACGUGUUCUGAGGAGAGAGAAAAACUGUGCAAAUGCAGGCAAUAGGAGUUGGCUACAGUUGGAUCUGUAAGUUACAGCAUCUGUAACUUAGCCAGCUCCGUAUUGUGAUAAUUUAAUGCAAUGCAGAGCCCUGAUACAGCAUAAUGCAGCCUGCCAAACAUGGCCGAAGUUUACAACGUUGAUAGGGUUCAGUUACUAUUCAACCGUGAUUUGAUAUUUAUUUUAUGUCUUUUUGUGAUUUAAUCAUUAGAUUCAAUUAAGAGUUGUAAAAAUUAUUCCAACAGUAAGAAUUUAAUCACUUAAUUAUUAACGUUGCAGUUCCUCAUUUUUUUUUGAAAAUUAUAAGGAAAUAUUAGUUUUUAAAAUUUGUACACAUAAGUCUAUUAAAAUAUUUUAUUAUCUUUAUAUGGAUUAAGGGUAAUUUAGUUGUUUUCCUAUUGUGUGUUUGUAUUUUGAUUUUUUGUAUUUCCCUUGUAAAAUAAGCUGCAAUAAAGGACAAUUAAUUUUGUCGCAUACUGUUGUUAUCUUGGGGUAUCGUAAUCACAAAGUUCACAACGUUGAUAAUGGUUAUCUAAAAUGUUAUCACGUAUAGAAUUUGAUUGGAUAUUGGAUAAAAUUAUUUGGAUAGUUCAUAUAAUUAUUUUAAUUAGCGGUUAUUAUUUUUCAGCCAAACCUUUUUAUCAAAUUAUUUUCUGCAAAUUUAUUUCUACGAAGUUUUCUUUGGCUAAUCUAACUAUCUAAGGGGGUUGAUGUUGUUUGGCUUACUUGUGUUCGUAUGAUGUGACUAUUUGUAUUGGGUUGGGUAUCUCUUCCUUGAAGAUGCUUUUGUCAUUUUCCCUUCUAAAUAAACUACAGUAAAGGACAAUGGAUUUUGUCCAAUGUCCUUACCAUCGCAUCCUGUUUUUCUUGAUUCUUUCGUGUUUGGUGAGCGGAAAGUUAUUGACCCAAGAAAAAGAGCAAGAAUCCCAUGAAAAGUUCGGAAAUAUUAAGAAUUUUGGAGAAUAAAAGAUAUUUUGGUUCAAGUAUGUUAAUAAAUCAGUGUAUUCGUUCUCUCUUUUUAGUUGUCUCUCUCUUUUUUCCCUUUAUGUAAUCGUCCAGUGUCCCCGAUAUUAAAUUGUAUUUAUUGUUUUUAUAUUUGUGGAAGACACAUUUACUCUGUAAUAAUGUGGAAUGAGAAGGCAAGUCCUAGCAAAAGGUUGGGAUUCAAAACCUUUAAAUAAAAUUUGCGUGAAAAUAGGCUUGAUAUUAAAUUAUAAGUUUUUUUUUUUGUUGGACGUUAUCAUUUUAUUACUUAAUUUUUUUCUAAAUUAUUCUGAACCCAAUUUUUUUUAUAAUUAUUUUUUGAUAUCUAAUGUUUUAGUUUUUAUUAUUUUACAACUAAAUCAUUAACGCAUUAAGAAAUUACUGAUGUCAUAAGAAUAUUUUAAGAAAUUUGUUCAAGCAUUCAAGGUUCUUUAUUUUGGGGGCAAGCAUAAUACAUGUGCUACCUCACUUGGAAGGGGGGCGGGGGAAGGCGAGGUGGAAGGAAAAUUACCAACUUGACCCUUAGCCCUAUGUUAUUUUUAGUUAUUUGCGAAAAUUCUCUUUUUGGAGGAGAAUGAUGGAUUGUUAGAGUGGAUGAUUUGGAAGAUAUUUUUGGAGGUCAGGUAUGGUUAGUUUUCAUUUGUAUAUUUGUUGGAAUCUCGCAUAUUUUAACCAAGCUUUUUGCAUGGGCUCACCAUGCACUUGUAGGGUCUAGGGAGGCUAACAUGUCUUAUAGUUUAGGUGUUUUAUUUGUUUUUGAUUUCAUUGUUUGUUGUUUUGUCUGGUUUAAUAAUACCACUUAUCCUAGUGAGUUUUAUAGUCCCAUUGGGCCAUAAGCUUCUCAAGCUCAAGCUCAAGCAUUUACUUUUCUGGUUAGAGACCAACGUCUUGGGGCUAAUGUGGAAUCCUUGAGUCAAAAGUAUUAUAAUAUUUAUAUUUAAAAUAAUCAAUUUAUAAAAGUGAUAUUUCUUUGUAUUUGAUUAAUAUUUUAUUUUUUAAAUUCAGCGGUCAAAUUGUACUUGCACAUUUUAGGGAAAAUAAACUUUUACUGUAACUUUUAGGGAAAAGGAUAUGUACACUCUUCAAAUUUAGAAAAAUGGUCAUUACACCCCCAAGUCUUGAAAAGAGGGCACCAAAACUCUCUUUUAACUAUAAUAUCUUUUAUCUUUAUUAUCACGAAAAAAUGAACUCUAAUGUAUUAUAAUAACAUUAAACUAAAUGUGAUAAUAAAAUAUUUAAAUAUUUUAAAAUAAUUUCAAUAUUUAUGAAUAUUUUAAUAUUUUACAAUCUAAUAGAUAUAUUUUAUUAUAUAAAAGUAAAUUUUAAUCUAAAUAGAACCAUAAUAAUAGAAUAAAUGUACUAAAAUUGAAAUUAUUUUAAUAUUAAGUAGAAUAAUAAUUUUAACAUUAUUAGUAUGUGACUUUCUUUUUAAUUCCAAAAUGUAGUUAAUGCAAAUGUUUAUUUAAAAUCUUACAAUAAUAGAAAUAUAUUAUUAAAAUAAAUAUAAUAAUUUAUGUAUUUAAAUUUAUUAAAAUAUUUUGAUACUGUUAGUCUACCGCAUAGAUUACAUUAUUUAUAUAAUAUUUAUAUUUAUAAAAAAAUUAAAGUUAAUUUUUUGGAUAAUAAAGAUAAAGUGUAUAAUGGUUAAAUGGGGAUCUUAGUAUCACUUUUUAAAAAUUUGGGGUUUUGUUGACCAUGUCCUCAAAUCGUGAGAGUAUCAAUGUUUUUUUCCCUAAUUUCUAUUAAAAUCCUGCUAUGUUUUAUGGAUUGAUGGUAAAAUGAAAGAAAUUAAAAUUUUAAGUUAAGAAAAGUAUUUGGCAACAAAUUUUAGUGAUAAAGUGAUAUAUUAGGAAAAAUUAUGUGCUAAAAUUUAUUUUGUUGAGGAAAAAAAUUAGAUUUGAGUAGAGGAAAGGGGUAUAGCUAGAAGAUGAGAAAAGUCAAAGCAGCACAAUCGUGCUGCCUGCUAUUCUCUGGUGGUUGAUGACAAUGAAUUUUGUCUAUUACUAUUUUGUUUUUCUCUUCGGAAUAUUCUGUGGAGUCAAUCUAACACGCUUUAUGAGUUAAAAUCAUUUCUCUUGUAUUAUUUUUUGUUCAGUUGUGAAGUCUCAUGACUAAUUUACCCUUCCGCAUGGAUUACCAUUAAUAUGUUAAAAUAAAAAAGGGCAUGAAGACUUUUGCAAAAUUAUGACGACUUUUUUGGAUGCAAGACUUUUUUUUUUUUGGAUGAAAUUAAAGAGUUUUUCAAAUCAGUGGCCGAAAUUGUUGAAAUGCAAUUAAAGGGUUAGGUGUAAUAGUACAAGUUUGAAGGCAUCAUCUUAAAAUUUGAUAUAAAUAAUUCAAGUGAAGAAUUGCUAAGGGUGAGCAAUUGAAAGGUUUUUUUUUUUUAACCAUGUAUGAGAGUAUUGGGUGUAUUUAAAUUUUAAGAAAAGAAAUUUCUUUACUUAAAUAUUGUACUUAAAUAAUUAUUAGUAAUACAAUUAUUAUCCCUUACUCCCAUAGAUAUAGGCAUAAUUGCCGAAUCACUUUAAAUUCUUGUGUUCUUUAUUUUUCUGUGAUUAUUUGGUGCAUUUGAUUCCGCAUUUCACGCACAACAAAUGGUAUCAGAGCCGACAGUUUGUAGUUGGUGUAGGUAGUAUUGUUCACGUAUACGGUACUAUUUAUGUACACAAUAUUAUUCAUAUAUAUGGUAUUGUUCUCGAAUAUGGUGGAGCCAAUAGAUUGUACUUGGGAGGAUUAAUAGCUUGUGAUGUAGGAAGUUAAUUUAGGUUAAUUUAGGAAUUUUAAGAUUGUAGAAUUUUAUUAUUUUAGGAAUUUUUAUUUUAAUUAGAGUCAAUUAUGGUAUUUUAUUAUUUUAGGACUUUUUGUUUUUAUUAGAGACAAUUAAGGUAUGAGAUUUAGUUAACUUAGGAAAAGUAUAUUUUAUUUUCAUUAUAAUUAUGAUUAUUUUCUCUUUUUAAGUUAACUUAGGGAAGCGGAUUUACUCUAUAAUAAAUAGAGAGGUCUUGUUAUUAUUUUCAGAACUUUAGAAAUUAUCUAUUUUAUAAAAAAAAUAGAUAUAAAAAAAGCGGGUUUACUCUAUUAAAAAAAAAACCCUAUUUUAUAAUUCCCUCUGAAAUUAUCUAUCAAAAUCUCUCUCGUAAAGUCAUUUGGAUUAGAGCGUCAUCUAAUCUCGCAUUAUGCGUUAUUAAAAAUCUCAUUGAAUCGUCUAGAUUAGAAUGAUAUCUAAUCACACUUCGAUUAGAGUGUAAGCUAAUCAGGUUGGCUUGGUCCAGUGCUAGAACGAUAUCUAGUUUUCCUAUCCUAUCAAUUUCUGCUUCUGCUAUGCCGCUCCAUCAAUUGGUAUGAGAGUGGUUCUGUGUGAAUCGUACAGCUUUCCUGGAUACCCACAUCUCUUCCGACCAAAUCCAUCACCAAAAAAAGAAAAAAAAUCAAAACUUUACAAGUUUUGAAAACCCUAGCCGCCACUUUAAUUUGGUUUUCUAGCCAAUCUACCUUUAUUCUAGGGAUGACAAAAUAACCCGAACUCGGAUGAACCCGGAUAAUCCAAGCUGGGUUGAACCCGUAUCGGAAUGUAAAAAAAUUCGAGUCUGGAAUAGAUUUUAAUAACCCGGAUGGAUCCGGGUCCGGUUCCGGGUUUGAGAUAACCCGUACAUCCGAAACCCGGACCCGAAUAUUCUUAUUUUAGCAUAAUAUUUAAAUUAUUUUUUAAUAUAAAAAGGGGGAAAAUAUUGAUGCCCUAAUCAUCCUUUUCGUCCUCUUUCUUUUCUCUUCUCUUCAUUUCACACUUUCACAGUCGCCUCUCUUCACCUUUUUCUUUUCUCUUAAUCAAAUCAUCAUUUUCGUUCCCAUUCACUUCUUCUCUUCAUCAAAUCAUCAUUUUUCUCUUCAGUUCUUCUUUUCAUCAAAUCAUCGUCGUCACUCCUUAUCGCUUCGCUUUGCUGUGUUCGCAUUCAUCAUCAUCACCAGCCUUCAUUUGGCCGUCGUUUGUCCAUUGUGAUCUCGGUUUUAGCUGCCGUUCAUCCACCUUUUGCGAAUUGCGCUCAUAGCUAUGACGUGUUCAUCAUCAUCAUAUCAUCAGCCACCAAUGUUCAUUACUUCGCCGGCCACUGAUUGUUGAAGUUUGUGAACCAAAUCCGUGAAUCGCGAUUUUGAGUUGUAGACAUGGAUUUAUAUUUUGUAAGUGUCAUGUCAUGGAUCUGUAUUUGCAUGUGAUCCGGGUUGAAAACCCGCAAUCGGGAAACCCGAAAUAAUCUGGGUUUAACCUGUUCCGGACCCAGUGUCACAAAAAUCAGAUUUAAAUCCAGGUCCGGUAUAGCAUUUUAGUAUCCGGGUCCGGAACCGGGAAGGCCAAACCCGGACCCGGACUCGGAUUUUGCCAUCCCUACUUUAUUCCUCAAAGACUGAUCACAGAUAAUAUCAUCAUUGGCUAUGAGUGCCUCCAUAAGAUUAGAUGCAAAAAAUAUGGAAAAUAGGGGUUGGUUGCUAUAAAACUUGACAUCAGCAAAGCUUAUGAUAGGAUUGAAUGGUGUUUUGUAGAAGGCAUUAUGCGUAAGCUAGGCUUUUCAAAUCGAUGGGUGAGUUUCACAAUUAAAUGCAUCAUGUCAUCUACAUUCUCCUUCCUGCUUAAUGGCAAAGUUUGAGGUCUCGUCAAUCCCCAGAAAGGGUUGCAAUAAGGAUGUCAUUUUUCCCUUUAUCUAUUUAUUCUAUAUGCAGAAUCUUUAUCUUUUUUAUUGGUCCAUGACGAAAAUCAUAAAUUCAUUCAUGGCAUUAAGUUUGGUGUCUAGGGCCCUACUAUUUCUCAUUUAUUUUUUGUUGAUGACAGCUUGGUGUUCUCCAAAGCAACGAUUGCAGAAUAUAACCAUCUCAAAGAGUUGUUUGAUCUGUAUAGUAAUGCAUCUGGUCAAGUCAUCAAUUUUCAAAAAUCAUCUUUAUUUUUCAGUCCAAAUACUCCAGGAAACAUCAGAGAGGCAAUUAAACAUGUCUUCAACCUUUCUGUUGUCUCUCAUCAUAAGCAAUAUCUUGGUCUCCCAUUGAAGCUGGGCAGAAGUAAAAAAUUCUUCUUUAAUACAUUAAAGACUCAGCUUUGGGACAAAAUUAAAGAUUUGGAAAGCCAAAUUAUUCUCAAGCGGCGGUAAAGAGAUAUUGAUCAAAUUUGUUGCUCAAGCUAUCCCCACAUAUGCGAUGAGUGUCUUCAAGCUCCCUCUCAGCUUUUGUGAUGAUUUGAAAAAAUUAAUCACCAAUUUUGGUGGAGUCAGAAUUUAUCCUCCAAAAGCCUUCACUGGUUGCCAUGGCUGAAACUCUUCCUUUCAAAGGAAUAUAGGGGCCUUGGUUUUAGAGAGUUAAGCUCUUUUAAUAAAGCUCUUAUAGCAAAACAAUGCUGGAGAUAAAUUUCUUUUCCACACUUUCUAGUCUCCAAAGUUAUUAAAGCUAAAUAUUAUCCAAGAGGCAACUUCAUGGAGAGUAAAUUGGGUAGUAAUCCUUCAUAUAUAUGGAGAAGUAUCUUAUGGGGGAAAGAGGUCAUUGAGGCUGCCUCAAGAUAGAGAAUUAGAUAUGGUAAAAUUGUUUCUAUUUAUCACCACAUAUGACUUCCUCAUCCUAGCACAUUCAAGUCAUUCUCUCCUCAGAUCCUACCUUCUCAAUCUCGAGUAACCAUCUUGAUUGACGAAGAAGGACGCUGGAAAGAAUAGUUAAUAAGAACUCAUUUUCUCAAAGAAGAUGUAACUCAGAUUUUGAAAAUCCUAUUACCCAAAAGGCCAUUGGAGGAUCAACUGGUCUGGACAUAUGAUAAGUGAGGCCACUAUAACGUAAAAAGUGGCUACCAUGUGUCCUUUUGUUUGAAACUCAAGGACUGGCCUUCCAGUUCCAGUACUAACACAGGGUGGUGGAAAUAUCUCUGGAAUUUGUCUCAACCAUCCAAGAUUAAAUUUUUUUAUUGGCGAGCCUUUUCCAAUAUUCUAGCCACUUAUUUAAAUAUGCAUAAAAGGAAAAUUCAAGUUGCUCCUUCAUGCCCUUGUUGUGGCUUUGCUUAUGAGGAUCAGUAUCAUGCUCUGGUGGGGUGUAAUAAGAGAAGAAGGUAUGGAAGCUCACGAGAUUUUAUUCAUGUCUAAAGAUUACAAGGCCCGUUGAGUUUUCCAAUUUGACCACUCACAUAACAUCUAUAUUAACAAAAGAUGAGUUUGAAGAAUUGGUAGUCUUAUGUUGGUCAAUUUGGUUAGCUCAGAAUCAUUUGGUUUAUGGUAAAGUUAUCACUGAGUCUCAAGCAAUUUGGCUAGCUCGGAACCAGCAAGAACAUUAAACCCAAUACUCCCAGCUCAUGUUGCGAAAGUCCUCCCUCGUCAUGGUACAAAGUGAAUGUUGAUGAUUUGUAGGGUGAUUUUCUCUAAAGAUAUAGAGUUUGUGGAAGUUGUUGCAAUGCCCAAAGGCCUUCAAUUGGUAAUGAAUAUCGGGUUGGCUCCUGCUAUAAUUGAGUUAGAUUCUCUCAAUGUCGUUAAUCUUAUUAGUAACAAAAUGCACAACAGAUGUGAAGUGGGGUGAUUAAUCUCCAACAUUCAAGAAGUCUUACUGUUGUAAAAAAUUUUAAUAUACUCGCAAGCGCACGAAUCAACAGAUAGAAUAGUGGUAACGAGAUCGAACCCACAAAGAUUGUUAUAAAUUGAAAAUUCUAAUUUAAAUCUAAAAUUAAUAUUAAUUCUAGCCUAGUUGAGCAAAUUAAGUUUUUAAUAAAAUUAAACUAAUUAAACUAAGAAAACUAUUAAAGCAAAUGAGAAUUCAAUAAGACAAAAAUUACCAAGGUUUCAUAAUCCACCACUAUUCAACUAGUAUUUAUCUAAAUAUUAAUUAAUCCUCAAUUUUAGAGUGACAACUCGAAAACAAUCUAUGUCAUCUCAUAAAUAUAACAAUUAAGCCCAAAUAAAAUUAAUCUUACGUAAGUUCUUUUUCUGCUUGAUAGUAUGACAGCUAAGUAUCCUAUGUAAACAUAUUGAAUAACAAAGAGUCAAAGUUUUCCUAAGCACUCUGUGUAAACAAUUUAUUGAAAAACACAAAAUCAAAUAUAAUCAUAUAUAAACUUUAUAGAUCCAAGCAUAGACUUAAUCAAAUAUUAAUCUUAACAAUCAAUAAUGCAUGACAGAAUUAGUGAAAAAGAAUUUAAUAACAUCCAACUAAUCAUGUGAAACAAGAACCAUAAACAUUAAAACACACAUGUGGGGAAUUAAUUAAAUAAAGAGAUAACUAUUUCAUUGAAUAAGAUUUCAUCCUUAACCUCAGUAUAAGAAAAUUAGGUAGACAUAUUUGAAUUAAGAGCAACAAAAUAAAUAACCCCAGCCAUGAAAACUAAACAGCCGUUGCCGCUCCUGUCUUCUCUCCUUAAUCGUGUCUCCUUUCGCUUCCUUUUGCGUUUGGCGGCUUCUCCCAUUUUUUGUCCAAAAGCCAAAAGCUUGCGUAUAUAGCUUCAAAAUGGGCCCCACAUUUUCAAUUCUAAAGCCAAAACGCUUUGGCCUUUUAUUUGUUUUGCUCCCACACGCCAAAUCCUUUGUAUAUUAUUUCCUUAUUAAAAUUGGAAAUCUAGCCACACGUUUGACUUCCAAAGCAAAAGGCCAAUUAAUGAUUUCUUCCUUUAAUGCCCAACACGUACAUUCCAAAUUACUAAAUAAAAUCUUUCUUUAAUUAUCUUAAGCUCAUGCGGAAACUUUGGAACAUAAUCUUUAAUUCUUCAAUUCUUUUCUCUUAUGGAUCUUUUAUGCACUUUUUUUUUUCGUAAUCUCAAAUUAAUUCCCUAUUUAAUAAAACAAUUCAAUUAGUUAAUAAUAAGAAAUAAAAAUAACUAGCAAAUAUACAAUAAGGGGUAAAAUAUAUAUAUAAAUUAUGCUCAUCAAAUACCCCCAAACUUAGAUUUUGCUAGUCCUUGAGCAAAACUAAAACUUAAAAACAAAAAUUAAAGUAACAAAACAAAAAAGUAAAUCCUAACUAAAACCAUUUUUGCNNNNNNNNNNNNNNNNNNNNNNNNNNNNNNNNNNNNNNNNNNNNNNNNNNNNNNNNNNNNNNNNNNNNNNNNNNNNNNNNNNNNNNNNNNNNNNNNNNNNNNNNNNNNNNNNNNNNNNNNNNNNNNNNNNNNNNNNNNNNNNNNNNNNNNNNNNNNNNNNNNNNNNNNNNNNNNNNNNNNNNNNNNNNNNNNNNNNNNNNNNNNNNNNNNNNNNNNNNNNNNNNNNNNNNNNNNNNNNNNNNNNNNNNNNNNNNNNNNNNNNNNNNNNNNNNNNNNNNNNNNNNNNNNNNNNNNNNNNNNNNNNNNNNNNNNNNNNNNNNNNNNNNNNNNNNNNNNNNNNNNNNNNNNNNNNNNNNNNNNNNNNNNNNNNNNNNNNNNNNNNNNNNNNNNNNNNNNNNNNNNNNNNNNNNNNNNNNNNNNNNNNNNNNNNNNNNNNNNNNNNNNNNNNNNNNNNNNNNNNNNNNNNNNNNNNNNNNNNNNNNNNNNNNNNNNNNNNNNNNNNNNNNNNNNNNNNNNNNNNNNNNNNNNNNNNNNNNNNNNNNNNNNNNNNNNNNNNNNNNNNNNNNNNNNNNNNNNNNNNNNNNNNNNNNUUGUACUGUGGAGAUAGAAUCAAGACAAACAGUCAUUUACUCUAUCUAAAAUUCUCAACUCAGGCUGCGUCAAUCUUAGAUUUCAAGUCAGAAAAAAUUAAUAUUAGUGCUCAUAGUUUAAAGAAUCUCAAUCAAGAUGAACUAACACAAGGAUCAAGUAUAAACUCAGACAAUAUUCAACCAUUUCUAAGAACCAUAGUCAUUGUCAAUCAAGUUCUUAUCAUUGGCUUUUCACAUAAAAACAAAAAAAGACAACACAAAUUUUUUUUUGAAUUUUUGAAAAUUUUUAAUUUUUUUUAAUAACAAACAAAGCACACACUAUUCCCACCCCCAAACUUAUUCGGAACAUUGUCCUCAAUGUUUCACAAACAAAAGAUAUGCAUGCAAAAAUAUGAGAAUAAAUAAAUAAAAACAUAAAUAAUAAAAGAAAAAGUUGGAGAGAACACACCUGAAUGGGCUGGAAAAGCGUAAAAAAAUGACAAAUAACAAGAAAACGUUAGAAAAGAAAAAUACUAGAAAAGAAAAACAAACAAUGAAAAGAAAACCUACUAUUUAAAUUUUAAAAAAAAGAAUGUAAAGAUGGAAUUAAUUAAUCAUGACAAACAGAAUCAUCUAAACUAUCUCCUCAAUUUCUGGUGUUCUUAACUCUAAAAAUGGUUUGAAUCUUUGACCCUUGACUUUAAAUAAGAAAAGACAGUACGAACUAUAAAAGGACCAGAUCAUCGAGAGCGUAACUUACUUGGAAAGAGAUGCAGUCGGGAAUUAUAUAAAAGUACUUUCUGACUUGGUGUAAAGGAUUUUCUCAAAAUGUGCUUGUCAUGAAAGAAUUUCAUUUGUUGUUUAUAAAUCUUGGCAUUCUCAUAUGCAUCAUUCUUGAUCUCUUCAAGUUCUGCUAGUUGUAAUAUUCUCUUAGAACCAGCCUGCUGGAUAUCAAAAUUGAAUUUCUUGAUAGUCCAAUAUGCACGAUACUCCAACUCUAUUGGCAGAUGACUUGCUUUUCUAUACACAAUUCUAUAAGGUGACAUCCCAAUUGGGGUUUUGAAAGUUGUCCUAUAUGCCCACAAUGCAUCAUCAAGUCUUAAAGACCAAUCAUUUCUAUCUGGCCUAACUGUUUUUUUCUAGAAUUUGCUUGAUCUCUCUAUUAGAAAUCUCUACUUGGCCAUUAGUUUGACGAUGGUAUGGGGUGGCAACCUUAUGUGUAAUGGAAUAUUUGUUCAAAAGAUUUUUGAAAGGUUUAUUGCAAAAAUGGGUACCACCAUCACUAAUGAUUAUUUUAGAGAAACCAAAAUGAGACAGAAUAUUACUCUUCAAGAAUUUCACUUCAACACUCUGAUCAUUAGUUUUGCAUGGAAUAGCUUCAACCCAUUUCGACAUAUAGUCCACUGCAACCAAUAUAUACUAAUAACCAAAAGAUGGAUGAAAAGGUCUCAUGAAAUCAAUACCCCAUACAUCGAAGAUCUCAACAAUCAAAAUAGGAUUGAGUGGCAUCAUAUUCCUCUUUGAAAUGCUACUCAUGCAUUGGCAUCUAUCACAUAAAGAACAGAAAACCUAAGCGUCAUGAAAAGGAGUAGGCCAAUAAAAAUCACAUUGUAAAAUUAUUGUUGCUGUCUUUUUAGCACUAAAAUGGCCUCCACAAGCUUGUUCAUGGAAAAAAGAGAUGACAUUUUGAAUUUAAUUCUCUGGAACACAUCUCCUAAUAAUCUGAUCAGCACAAUAUUUAAACAAAUAGGGAUCAUCCCAAAAAAAAUUCUUCACUUUGGAUAAGAACUUUGUUCUAUCUUGCUUGGUCCAAUGUUUUGGGAUUUGACCUGUAACAAGGUAAUUAACUAUAUCAGCAAAUUGAUUAACACUAAAAAGUGUACGUGUAAUAAAGAUAAAAUUAUCAGUUUUACACUUAUUGUGUAGAUUAAUGCGCUCAUUAUUUCUAAAUUAUCUUAAUACUUCCCAAAUAAAUUUUUGUGUUAAUUUAAUUCACAAUAUAUUAAGUUUUAUCUUAUAAAUAUUUUUCAGGAAUAAAUUGGAAUUGAAAGCGUGAACAAAGAAGGACUGCUGGAGCAAUUUGGAAGCAUUAUUGAGGAGAUGUAAAUAAAUAAAAAAAUGAAAAUGAAUAAAAAAUAAAAAAAGAACAAAAGAACAAAAACCAAAUUGCUCAUUCUCGUAAUGGUCAAGUGGCCAUCAUAGCCACUUGACCAUUACACAUUUCAAUGUACAUAUAUAAUAAUAAUAAUAAUAAUAAUAAUAAUGAUAAUAACAUAAAUAAAGAUAAUGCAUUCCUUGCCUAUAAAAGGCAAGGAAAUGCAGGAAGCUUGAGUGGAGAGACGCGAGGGGAUUUGAGAUUUUUAAGCCGAGAGAAUUAGUUGUAGCCACGAGGGAACUGAAGAAUUUCUGUCUUUCUUUCUUUUCUUUUCUUGUUUCCUUUUGUAUCAAUUUUCCUCGUAACAUAUUUCAAAAGUUUAUCAAAUAAAAAGAGUAUUGUGUUUUCUUUCGAUAUGAGUGGCUAAUUUUAGUAAGCUGAGGUGAAAGGUGAAGCUCAAUGUUUCAAACUAUUAAAUUUAUUAUUUUCUCAAAUGAGUUUUUAAGUUUAUUUUAUUUAUUUCUAGUUAUUUUUAUGUCAUGUUAAUUUAUAAAUUUUCUUGGAUCUAUAUGGUAUUUUGACAUAAUAUCGAUACAUUAAUAUAGUGUGGCACAUUAGGUACUUUAUUUCAUAUUUAUCCACACACAUAAAAUUAAAUGAUAUAAUAAUUAACUGCUAAAAGUGAGGCAAAAUAUAAAUGAGAGAGUAUUAAAAUUAUAGUUUGAAUACUGGGAGUGGAUCCCAUAACAUUAGUAUAUUUUAAAAUUGUUUUCAAAUAAUUUCUUUUUCCCACAAUUAAUUUUCUUUGUUUAACAAAUUGACAACUAGAUUUUAAAAAUUCCUUGUGGUUCGACCCGAACUCGCCGGGUUAUAUUACAACUAAAUACUCUUAUAUUUGGGAGUAAUAUACUUUUGAGUCAUGUCAAAUUUUUGGCACCAUUGCCGGGGAGUUUUCUAAAUUUUGCGUUAGUUUGUUUUUACUUUAUUUUUAUUUUAUUUUAAUAUUUUAUUAUUAUUUUUUUUUGUCCUACUAUCUUUCCGUGAUCCUAUUUUAUUCCCUUUUUGCAAAACUUCAGUUAGCACCCCUCCUCUUUUCAAACUUUAACAUUAUCCAUAAAAUUUGUGAGAAACUUCAUCUUAGCCCAUAAACAUUUGCAAAUCAGUCCUCAAAUCGAAUUUAUUUCUUUAAAUUUCUGCAAUUUACUUUCUACAUUUAUUUUAAAUGGUCGGUUCUACCGCCUAGCAUUUUAAUUUCAGUUUAUUUAUUCUUGUACAUUAAUUUAUUUAAUUUUAUGUUUUAUUAUAUGGCUGGUUUUAAAAUACCUUCUAAACUGUUUCUUUUAAUUUCUUUGCUUAUGGCUGGUUUCACCACCUAAUUUAUUUAUUUAUUUAAUUCAGUUUGUUUAUUUUUAUUUUACAUUUUUUUCUUAUUUAAUUUCUAGUUUUUUUCUUCAAUUUUCAUUUAGCGUUUUAUGCAUCAUUAGUUUAGCACACAUCAUUAGCAUUGUAUGCGUCGUUGGUCUCGUACAAAUAGUGGCAGAUUAAUUAGAAGAUCACCUUCACAACCCUUAGAUGUGGCUGACACAGGAGCUGAAAAUUUUUCGGAGCGUGAAAAUGACCAAGCCUUGCAAAAUCUUCAUGAACAGCCUAGGAACCUAAGAGAUUUCAUGCAUCCUACUAGAACAGGGUCAUCAUCAUGCAUAGUUUUCCCUGCUGAUGCAUCACGUUUUAAUUUUAAACCUGGUAUCAUUCAACUUCUUCCUACUUUUCAUGUUUUUGAGUCUGAAAAUCCAUAUUUGCAUUUAAGGGAAUUUGAGGAAGUCUGUAACACAUGUACUUAAGUUUUUUCCUUUCUCACUAGAGGAUAAAGCUAAAACUUGGCUACAAAAUCUUAAGUCAAGAUCCAUUAAAACUUGGGAUGAAAUGCAAGCACAAUUUUUGAAAAAAUUCUUCCCACCCUACAGAACUAAUUAUUUCAAAAGACAAAUCAACACAUUCACUCAAAAACUAGGAGAAACCCUCUACCAAUGUUGGGAUAGGUUUAAAGAACUACUUAACAUUUACCCACACCACGGUUUUGAAACAUGGAGAUUAGUGUCUUAUUUCUACGAGGGAUUAACAUCCCAGGGUAGACAAGUCAUUGAAAUGAUGUGUAAUGGUGAGUUUAGGGAUAAAAGUCUUGAAGAUGCAUUAAACUAUCUUGACUAUAUAGCAGAGAAUGCACAACACUGGGAUACAGUUGGUUCUUAUGAGUCAUCAAGUCAACCCCAGUCAUCUCUAUCUGGUGGAGGCAUGCAUAACCCUAGGGAAGACCAUGAUUUUCAAGCCAAAUUUACAUUAUUAGCUAGAAAAGUCGAAGCAUUAGAGUUGAAAAAGAAUGAUCAUGUAAAAUAUGUUCAAAAUAUUUCAUGUUAUGUUUGCGAUUCUACUGACCAUUUUACGUAGGACUGUCCAACUUUGCCAGCAAUGAGCGAAAGUUUGCAUGAACAAGUAAAUGUCGUUGACAAUUUCAAAAGGCCAAAUUCAAAUCCAUACUCCCAAACUUACAACUCUGGAUGGAAAAACCACCCAAAUUUUAGUUGGAGAAAUGACAAUCAUACACAACCUUCACAACCAAUUCCUCCACAUCAAAAUUUUCAAAACUUCCAGAGUUACCCAUCAUAUGUCCCACCACCAAGAAAAACUUUGGAAAACACAUUGCAUUCGUUUAUUGAAAAAUAAGAGUCAAUCAAUAACCAAACGAUGUAAACCUUAACUAAUUUGACAGAAACUAUCUCCAAACUUACAUCUACUCUGACCAUGUAUGAAAAAGGAAAGUUUCUUGCUCAACCUGAACCAAACCCCAAGAGUCAACAACAUCCGCAAAUGGGAAAUUCAGGAAACCAAAUUAUGAGUCAACUCAAAUCGGUUAUAACCCUUUGUGGUGGUAAAGUGGUCGAAAACAUAUUGUGGACCCUCGUGAAACUAGUAAAGAUUCAAUUUCAGAAAAUAGGGAAGAAUCUGUCGAACCUUUAACCCAUGAAGAAAUAACCAACUCUCCUCCUGUACCCCUAUUUCCUCAAGCACUAAUCAAGCCAAAGAAAUCAAACCACAGUCUAUAAAUUUAUGAAGUUUUUAAAUAAGUAAAGGUCAACAUUCCUCUGCUGGAUGUCAUUAAAUAAGUACCUUCUUAUGCUAAAUUCUGAAAGAUAUGUGCACGGUGAAAAGGAAACAUAAGGUGCAAAAGAGAACUUUUCCAGCAGAACAAAUAAGUUCCAUUCUCUCAACCAAUAGUACUUUGAAAUACAAGGAUCAUGGUUGUCCAACUAUUUCUUGCACUAUUGGGGAUCAUAAAAUUGGACAUGCUCUACUUGAUCUUGGUGCCAGUGUUAAUUUGCUUCCUUACUCAUUGUACUAACAACUCAAUCUCGGUAAGUUAAAACCAACUUCUACCACUCUUUUACUUGCUGAUAGAUCGAUUAAGAUUGCAAAAGGAAUAAUUGAAGAUGUAUUAGUUCAGGUCAAUAAAUUCAUAUAUCUUGUGGAUUUUAUUGUUUUGGAAACGGAACCAAUUGCUAAUGAAUGCAAACAAAUUCCUCUUAUAUUGGGUCGACCAUUUUUAGCUACUGCUAAUACUUUGAUAAAUUGCAAGAAUGGAUUAAUGAAUUUAUCUUUCGACAACAUGACACUGGAACUCAAUGUGUUCAACAUAUGUAAACAACCUCACCACUAAGAAGAUGAUGAUAAUGAGAAUGAGGAGAUUGAUCUCAUCGAGCUAAUAAUUGAGGAACACAUUCAGGAUGAGAAUUUUAUAAACUCUACGAAAAUUUGUUUUGCUGGUUCUUUUGAAUCAAGUAAGGAAUUAGAUUGUGAUACUGCUAACAUAUGUCGUACACUUGAUUCUAUGCAGGUCCCUAUAGGUGACGAUGACCAAUCGAACUUUGAAGAUACGAUACAACCCGAAGAACCAAACGAAGAGAAAACACCAGAGAUCGAAUUAGAGCCCUUACUAGAAGAAUUGAAAUAUGUCUAUCUUGGAGAACAGCAGACAUAUCCGGUGGUAAUUUCUUCCCAGUUCACGCAUGAUCAAGAAGGUAAGUUGUUAUCUAUUCUAAAAAAGCGUAAAACUGCAUUUGGUUGGACCUUAAAAGACAUAAAAGACAUUAAUCCUUUAAUUUGCACACACCGAAUACACUUAAAGGAAAAUGCCAAAACAACUCGUCAACCACAAAGAAGACUAAACCCUCAUAUGAAAGAAGUGGUAAAUAAUGAGGUCCUUAAACUACUAGAUCUAAGAAUUAUCUAUCUUAUCUCUUAUCAAAUCCCUAUAGCCUUAGAAGACCAGUAAAAGACCACAUUCACAUGCCCAUUUGAAAUAUUUGCAUUUAGGAGAAUGCCCUUUGGACUUUGUAAUGCUCCUGCAAUAUUUCAAAGGUGCAUGCUAAGCAUUUUUAGUGACAUGGUUGAAAAUUGUCUAGAGAUUUUUAUGGAUGAUUUAACUGUAUUUGGUAAUUCUUUUGAUACAUGUCUUGAUAAUCUAGAAAAUUUUUUGGAAAGGUGCAAAGAAAAAGGACUAGUUUUAAAUUGGGAAAAUGUCAUUUCAUGACCACUUCUAAAAUUGUCUUGGGCCAUGUUGUGUCUUCAAAAGGAAUUGAAGUUAGCAAAGUUAAAGUUUGAAGUCAUUUCAAAAUUACCUUCACCAAAGACAAUUAGAUAACUCCGUUCCUUUUUAGGACAUGCAGGAUUUUAUAGGAGGUUUAUAAAAGCCUUUAGUGUCAUAUCUAGACCACUUUGUAACCUACUAAUAAAAGACACACCUUUUGAAUGGACUAAAGAUUGUCAACAAGCUUUUGAAAAAAUAACUACUCUUUUGACAUCAGCCCCAAUAAUGCAACCCCCUGAUUGGUCUUUACAUUUUGAGCUAAUGUGUGAUGCUAGUGAUUAUGCCGUUGGCGCUAUUCUAGGUCAAAGAAAGGAAGGUAAGCCCUUUGUCAUCUAUUAUGCAAGUAGAACUUUGAAUAGUACUCAAAUGAAUUACACUACAACUGAGAAAGAACUACUUGUUGUAAUAUUUGCAUUGGAUAAAUUUCAUUCGUAUUUAAUUGGUUCAUCUACUGUUGUUUAUUUUGAUCAUGCUGCUGUGAGAUAUUUAAUGUCAAAACAGGAUGCCAAACCAAGGUUGAUAUGAUGGAUUUUGCUACUUCAAGAAUUUAAUUUGACGAUUAAGGAUAAAAAGGGCGUUGAAAAUGUUGUUGCAGAUCAUCUUUCAAGACUUACAAAUGAGUCUUCAAUUGAAACAACACCCAUCAAUGAUUCUUUCUCUAAUGAAUUUUUGUUUUCUAUAAACAAAAUGCAUUGGUAUGCUAAUAUUGUUAAUUAUCUUACGACAUGUGAAAUGCCAUGUGACUGGAGUUCCCAAGACAAGAGGAAAUUCUUAACAGAAGUGAGAAGCUUUUACUGGGAUGAUCUAUACAUGUUCAAAUACUACCCUGAUCAAAUACUACUCUGAUCAAAUUUUUUGAAGAUGCAUACCAGAUGACGAGGUAAGUAGGGUCAUUCAAUUUUGUCAUUCUGAAGCAUGCGGUGGCCAUUUUUCUUCAAAAAAGACAGCUGCAAAAAUAUUGCAGUGUGGAUUUUAUUGGCCUAUAUUAUUUAAAGAUUCACAUGCAUUCUAUAAAAUGUGUAAGAAUUGUCAAAUGAUAUGGUCUAUUUCAAAACGAAACAUGAUGCCUUUAAACCCCAUCCUUGUUAUUGAAAUAUUUGAUUGUUGGGGAAUUGAUUUUAUGGGCCCUUUUCCAUCAUCAUUUGGAUUUGUAUACAUUUUGGUUGUUGUUGAUUAUGUUUCAAAAUAGAUCGAGCUGAUUCAUUGUCGGCACAAUGAUCACAAGAUUGUGAUCCGCUUUUUAAAAGAAAAUAUUUUGAGCAGAUUUGGAAUAUCUCGAGCCAUUAUCAGUGAUGGAUGUAAGCAUUUUUGUAAUAAGCCAUUUGAGUUAUUAAUGAAGAAAUAUCGAAUUACACAUAAGGUUGCUACCCCUUAUCAUCCUCAAACAAGUGAUCAAGUUGAAUUAGCAAAUAGGGAGAUAAAAUAAAUUUUAGAAAAGACAGUUAAUCCAAAUCGUAAAGAUUGGUCUCUUCGACUAACUGAUGCACUUCGGGCAUAUCGUACUACUUUUAAAACAUCUUUAGGAAUGUCACCCUAUCGUCUUGUUUAUGGAAAAUCUUGCCACUUACCAGUUGAACUUGAACAUAAAUCAUUUUGGGCCAUUAAAGUUUUUAAUUCAAAUCUUGAUGAUGCUAGUAAUGUGCUUAAAUUGAAAAUAAAUGAACUUGAGGAAUUAAGGAAUGAUGCAUAUGAGAAUUCUAGAAUUAUUAAGGGAAGAACCAAAUUUUUUCUUGACAAAAGAAUUUUUUAGAAAAUGUUUGAAAUUGGUCAAAAAAUGUUGCUUUAUAAUUUUCGUCUUCAUUUAUUUUCAGGGAAGUUAAGGUCAAAGUGGAAUGGUCCAUUUUUUUGUAAAAAAUGUGUAUCCAUAUGGAGCCGUAGAAAUUGAGAAUCGAAAGGAUGGUGUCACAUUUAAAGUUAAUGGCCAAAGAUUGAAACCAUAUCUGAAAUACCAACCACAUAAAGCAGAAUACCGAAAUCAAUUUGAAUGACCCACCAAAUUUUGAUUAAGCCUUUUCAUUUUAACGUUUUGUGAAUUUGAUUUACUGUUACUUUAUCGUUUGAAUUGUUUGAUUUUUUUUCUUUUUCCUCUUCCCUAUAUCUUGAAUGGAGUACAUUACAUUGUUUUAAUUGUGUGUUGUUUGACAAUUGUGAUUUAGCUCACCAAAUUUUUAUACUUGUCAUGAGUACCUCCAUGAGAAAUUUCCUUUUCGAUCAUUUUAAAGCACUUUUACAAGUAAAAUUUCACCUGAGGAAAUUACUUUGAUUUUGUAAAUCACAUCCCAUUUGGGACCUACAACCACCAAAGUCAGUAUCCCACAUGAAAGAUCUAGAAAGACAACUCAAGGAAAUAGAGGAUGGUAUUUAUAAUAUGUUAUUGGAACUGGAGGUAAAUUCAAUAAAAGGAUAAAGGUGAGUUAUAUUCCUUGUGUGUUUUUAUUUUAUUUUGUUGUUCUUAUUCACUUUUGAUUUGUUUUGAUUCACUCUUCCGUAUAAAUGGCGAAUAACGGUACUCCGUGACUUUUUAAGUCGAUAUUCUCAGUAUCCCACAAUAACUGAAACCUCAAUGUCAAGCAUGGAAGAAAUACAAUGAAAAUUGCAUCAACGUUUUCCUUCUCUCCCUCAAAAUGCUCUUAAGAAGAUUUACAAAACUCGUUGUGAACGACUACAAUUGUUAAUGAUCAAUGGGAUUCGCUAGUUAAUUGAAGCAAAGGUCCGACUGGCAUGUGAGUUUUCUUAUCCAUUCAUUUCUUACAUGCCUGGUCUUUGUAAAAGUAUAUUUGCUAAGAAAAGAAGAGCUAAGCGACUUGGCUCUGAAUGUUCUCACUAUGUAAGACUUGCUUGUAAAAAGCCACAUUGUAAGGAAUGGUUUCUGUAAAUCGUGAAGAUAAAAUCAAAUUCGUUAAGGAUGGCAUAAGCAAAGAAUCGUUGGAUGAUAUCUUACGAUCUCUUAAGACGCAUCCGAGCAGAUAUGUUCAAUGUGAAAUUUAAAAUUUGUGGAAACUAUUCCAAAAGGAAAGUGUACAGUUUAGUCUUGGGAAUUUGACUCUAAAAGACCCUGUUUACCAGUUUAUAAGAAAACUGGAUGGGAAGCCUAUUCUCAACCCAUAGAGGGCGUUCAAGCCGUUACUGGACGUAAAACCAGAGGAAGAUGUGAGCCACAAUCAUAACUACCAGUAAAUAUCCUUUUAUUUUACUAUUCUUUUAUCUUUUGCAUUAUUAUUAUUAUUAUGUGUUUUUUUAUCUAAUCACUGUUUGUUUUUCUUUUUACUGUUUGCCUUUGAAUUAUUAAGCUAAAAGCUUCACGCAUCAUUUGACACACACACCACCCCAUUUACAGAUAUCAUUAUGUCCGUCACCAAGAUCCUUAAAUAGGAACUUCUUUUCAAGCACUCACAAAUUGUUUCUUUUUAGAAUUGUUCUAAUGGCAGCAACUUCAAGCAGUCAACUUAAAAACAUUUGUGUACUUUUUGGAUUUCGCUAUGGAAAGUAUAAGGAGUUCAUUCAAGCAGCCAUAGAUCUUGGUCGUGCUAUAGCAGAGAGGAAACUACAUCUUGUAUAUGGAGGAGGUGGCCAAGGGUUAUCAAAACUUAUCUCUGAAGCUGCCUUCAUUCGAGGAAGCCAAGUGCUAAGCAUCAUUCCAAAAGCUUUAAAACCUUUAGGAUGUCUACCAAACCCACCAACUGGAGAAGAGUUAGUUGUCUUAGGUAUGCAAGAAAGAAUAUCCGAAAUGUUAAAUCAUGCUGACGCUUUCAUUUUCUUGCCAGGAGAUCUUGCAACUUUAGAGACGCUAAUUACAUUUUCUUCUUGGGCCCAUUUGAAUAUUCAUCAAAAACCCAUCAAAUUGUUAAAUGUUAAUAACUUUUAUGAUGGCUCAAUAAUAUUUCUUAAUCAUGCAAUAAAAAAUUACUUCAUUCCAUCCUCAGCAAAAAAACUCUUCAUUUGUGCUCCUAUUGAUAAUGAGUUAUUUGAUCUUUUGCAAGCUUAUAAACCAGAGCCAGAUCCGGUGACUUUGGCAUUGGAUUGGGCAACUGAGGACGAUGGCAGUAACUCUCGUAAAAAGUAUAAAUUAGAUUUAACUCUCCGUUUGUAAAUAUUUCCAGUUGUGGCCAGGUGAUAUCUUCUAAACUCUACUCCUUUCUUUAGACAUUGAGGACAAUGUCUCCUUUGGGUUGGGGGAGGGAAUAGUUGAUAAUUGUGGAAUGUCUCAGUCCUGGUGAUGUUUUUACUAAUUUUUGGUGUAAAGACUAACUUUGGAUAAAAAUUUGAGUCGAAAAUGACAGAAUAUAGAAUGUAGUAUCUCUAAAAACGCAUCUUAAUUUUAGUGUGUUUUCUAAAAAAAAAUUAUUUUCUAACUUUUUAUUUCUGUCUUUUUCUCUUUUUCUCUUAAUCAUCUCCCUUAAGUUUCUGCAAUUAGUCCCAAAUUUUUAGUGUUUUCUUAAAAAAAAAAAGUUUUCUUUUUCGGUGUGAUCUUUUGACAUUGGAUAACAUGAUGAUUUUUAAAUUUUGGUAUUCGUAUUAUCUUUGGCCUUGAGUUAUGUUACACUAUGUUUUUCCCUUUGCAUGUUGAAACGUAAAUUGAGAAAUUGAAUGAGUGAAAUUGAUUAAGCCAUUUGGAGGAAUGUACAUGUUAUAAAAAGUCCAAGCGAGUUUUUUGAGCCUAUUAUCCUUGGAGAGUAACCCUAUUUGCCAAUACAGCUUCUCAAUUUAUUGUACAAUAUCUCAAUAUUUUCUUUAAAAAAAGAGUAAAAAAAAAAGAAAGUUUGUGCAACCGCAUCUAAAAGUUUAUUGAACUAGUGGAUAUGAAAGAUUAUUUAAAGCCCUAAAAGAUGACAGAAGACCAUCUUUGACCCAUUGAGCCUUUCUAGCCAACCUUAUUAUAAAGAAUCCAUAGUUAAUCUCUUUGAGCCUUAAAAAAAAAAAAUUUCCUUUGAUAACCUAUUAUCUUAUCCCACUCCAAUGUGGAGCAUCACCUUAUAUUUUAUGUUUUCCACCACCCAAUUAUGUUUGAAAAUAGGGAUGAUUAUGUAUUCCUAAUAAUGGUGCUAUAAAAAAAAAGAGGAUAUGUAUAUAUAAAUAAAUAAAAUAAAAUAAAAAAGAGAGCAAAAAAAAAAGCACCUUGUAAUCUCCAAAAAGUCCUCUAUUUUUCAAACAUAUAUUUUUGUUUUCCCUAUUACCUUUUUUGUUAGCCAUAACCAUAGCCUACAUUACGUCCUAAUAAAAGUUCUUCUUGAUUUAGGGAAUUAUAGUCUGAAGUAAAAGCUGGUAAUAUGGACUAAAAGAUGUGGUGAUGCAUAAAAAUAAAAAUAAAUUUUGCUAAUAUAAUUCCCUGAGUUGAGAUCAUUUUAUUUCUAAGCGGUGGGUCUUAUUCUUUCAUCUUGGUAAGAGCGUAUGAUAUUGUUUUAUUAUUCUCUCAAAUCUACCUUUUUUUUAGAGUGACAGUUUAAUUUGGGAUAUACUUUCUUUUGAGAGAGUCACUCUUAAUCGUGAGAUUUUGGGGUUUGAUGUAUCAUUUUUAAAAGUGACUUGAUUAAUGUAGCUCUGAUAAUUGAUCAUUUUACAUGAUUUUACUAAACUAUUUUGUGCGAGUGUGAUUUUCUUUAGGCUGAAGAUAAUGCUUAUACUUUUAUUUGAUUGUUGUCAUUAAUACGAUGAAAGAAGUAAACACAAUCCUUCAAAAAAAAUAAAAAAAAAUUCAAUUUGAGUUUGAAAUUUUACUAAACUUUUUUUCGAUUAAAUUAUUAGGGUCUAGCAAUAAGUUGGUUGGGGGGUGUGAUUAACACUAAAAAGUGUACGUGUAACAAAAAUAAAAUUAUUAGUUUUACACUUAUUGUGUAGAUUAAUGCGCUCAUUAUUUCUAAAUUAUCUUAAUAUUCCCCAAAUAAAUUUUUGUGUUAAAUUAAUUCGCAAUAUGUUAAUUUUUAUCUUAUAAAUAUUUUUCAGGAAUAAAUUGGAAUUGAAAGCGGGAUCAAAGAAGGACUGCUGGAGCGAUUUGGAAGCAUUAUUGAGGAGAUGUAAAUAAAAAAAUAAAAAAAUAAAAAAAUAAAAAAUAACAAAAGAACAAAAACCAAAUUUCUCAUUCUCGUAAUCACACACACACACACACACACAUAUAAUAAUAAUAAUAAUAAUAAUAAUAAUAAUAAUAAUAAUAAUAAUAAUAUAAUAAUAAUAAUAUAAUAAUAAUAAUAAUAAUAAUAAUAAAUAAAUAAAGAUAAGGCAUUCCUUGCCUAUAAAAGGCAAGGAAAUGCAGGAAGCUUGAGCGGAGAGUCGCAAGGGGAUUUGAGAUUUUUAAGUCGAGAGAAAGAGUUAUAGCCAAGAGGGAACUGAAGAAUUUCCGUCUUUCUUUCUUUUCUUUUCUUGUUUCCUUUUGUAUCAAUUUUCCUUGUAACAUAUUUCAAAAGUUUAUCAAAUAAAAAGAGUGUUGUGUUUUAUUUUGAUAUGAGUGGCUAAUUUUACUAAGCUGGGGUGAAAGGUGAAGCUCAAUGUUUCAAACUAUUAAAUUUAUUAUUUUCUCAAAUGAGUUUUUAAGUUUAUUUUAUUAUUUUCUAGUUACUUUUAUGUCAUGUCGAUUUAUAAAUUUUCUUGAAUAUGUAUGGUAUUUUGAUAUAAUGUCGACACAUUAAAAUAGUUGUGAUACGUUAGGUACUUUAUUUCAUAUUCAUCCACACACAUAAAAUUAAAUGAUAUAAUAAUUAACUGGUAAAAGUGAGGCAAAAUAUAAAUGAGAGAGUAUUAAAAUUAUAGUUUGAAUACAGAGAGUGGAUCCCGAACCUUAGCAUAUUUUUAAAUUGAUUUCAAAUAAUUUCUUUUCCCCACAAUUAAUUUUCUUAGUUUUAAAUUGACUACUAGAUUUAAAAUUCCCUGUGGUUCGACCCCGAACUCACCAAGUUAUAUUAUAACUAUACACCCUUAUACUUGGGAGUAAUACAAUUUUGAGUCGUGUCACAAACCAUGGUACAAUAUUUACACUCAUAAGUUGCUCAUCUGGGAAAGACUCAUUCAAAGGUAAAGAUUCUGAAAUAAAUUUAAGAUCAAGGCGAGAUAAAUGAUCUGUCACAGCAUUUUCAGAACUUUUUUUAUCUCUAAAUUCAAUGUAAAAUUCUUGUAAAAGCAACACCCAACGAAUCAAUCUUGCCUUAGCAUCUUUCUUAGUAAGCAAAUAUUUCAAAGCAGCAUGAUCAGUAAAAAUAAUCAUUUUACAACGUAUAAGAUAAGAUCUGAAUUAAUCAAGUGCAAACACCACAUCUAGCAUUUCUUUUUCUGUAGUUGAAUAGUUCAACUGUGCAUCAUUGAGUAUCAUACUAGUAUAAUAAAUCACAUAAGGCAUACGAUCUAAUCUUUGUCCUAAAACUGCUCCUACAACAUAAUCAGAUGCAUCACACAUAAUUUCAAAAAGCAAUUCCGAUUAGGUGGUCGAAUGAUAAGUGAAGAAGUCAACAAUUUCUUAAGCUUUUCAAAAGCAUCAAGACAAGAUUCAUCAAAGAUAAAAGGUACAUCCUUAACAAGUAAAUUGCAUAAGGGUUUAGAAAUUUUACUAAAAUCUUUAAUGAAUCUUCUAUAAAAACUAGCAUGUCUAAGGAAAGAUCUUACUUCUUUUACGGAUUUGGGGUGUGGAAAAUUGGAAAUUAAAUCCACAUUGGCUUUGUCGACUUUUAUGCCUCUACUGGAAAUUAUAUGACCGAGAAAAAUAUCUUGUUUUACCAUGAAGUGAUACUUUUCCCAAUUUAGAACUAAGUUCUUUUCUUUACAUCUCUGCAAAACUAAUGUUAGAUGUUGCAAACAUUCAUCAAAAGAAUCUCCAUAAACAGAAAAAUCACCAUGAAUACUUCAAGAAAUCGCUCAACCAUAUCAAAAAAAAUACUAAGCAUGCAUCUUUGAAAGAUAGCAGGUACAUUGCAUAAACCAAAUGGUAUUCUCUUAUAUGCAAAAGUUCCAAAUGGACAAAUAAAAGUAAUUUUCUCUUGGUCCUCUAGAGCUAUAGGAAUCUGAUUAUAACCNNNNNNNNNNNNNNNNNNNNNNNNNNNNNNNNNNNNNNNNNNNNNNNNNNNNNNNNNNNNNNNNNNNNNNNNNNNNNNNNNNNNNNNNNNNNNNNNNNNNACAAGUCCAUCAAACAUUUGAUCAAUAAAUGGAAGAGGAAAAUGAUAUUGUCUGGUGACUAAAUUCAAUUUUCUAUAGUCAAUGCAAAACACGCCAACCUGUAGUUACUCUAAUGGGAAUUAACUCAUUAUUAGCAUUAGUAACUACUGUAACACCAGAUUUCUUAGGAACAACUUACACAUGGCUAACCCUAUCUCUUACCACUUCUUUUAUGUUAGGGUUUAGUCUACGUUGCAUCUUCCUAAUAGGCUUAGCAUUUUCUUCAAGAUUAAUAUGAUGCAUGCAAUUUACUAGAUUAAUACAUUUAAUAUCAGCAAUGGUCCAUUCUAUUGCCUCCUUAUACUCUUUUAGAAUACCCAACAACUUACCUUUUUGCUCAAGAUCGGGAAGAAGAAAUAAUAACAGGUAGAGUGUCAGAUUCUCCCAAGAAUGCAUAUUCCAGUGUGUCGGGCAGUGCUUUGAAUUCUAAUUUUGGUAUUGUCUCAACAGAUGGGCUAAUCUUCUUCUCAGAAUGAGGCACUAAAAAGAGAAAUUUGCAUGUCACCAAAAAGGCAUUUUUAACUGAACAAACCAGCAAUGUACUUCAAUGUAAAAUGCCACCAAAAUUUAAGGAUCCAAGUUCCCUUAAUAUCUCAUAUGUUAUAGGGAACCAAUUGUUUAAUAAAGUAUUGUUGGAUUUAGGAGCUAGUGUUAAUCUCUUACCUUAUUUUGUUUACAAGUAACUUGGAUUAGGUGAGUUAAAGUCAACUUCUAUUAUUUUACAACUUGCAGAUAAGUCAAUGAAAAUAUCUCAUGGAAUUCUAGAGAAUGUGUUGAUACAGAUUGAUAAAUUUUAUCCUGUUGAUUUUAUUGUUAUUGAUAUUCAGCAUGUACAAGAUCCUAAGAAACACACCCCAAUUAUUCUAGGCCGUCCUUUCUUAACUACAGCCGAUGCUUUUAUUAAUUGCAGAAAUGGAAACAUGCAGCUGUCCUUUGGUAAUAUGACCAUGAAAUUGAAUAUUUUUAAUGUUACCAAGCAGCCACAAGAAGAAGAUGAAUUUGUCGAAGCAAAUAUGAUAGAAGAAUUAGUAGAAGAUUCAUUCAUUUCUAACCACACUGAUGAUCCAUUAGAGGCAUGUUUAACUCAUUUUGAUUUAUCUUCUAAUGAUGACAGUGUAAAUCUUUUAAAAACUUGGCAUAUGAGGGAACUUGCUUAAUAGCAUCGAGUAAAUGGAUGUUUAUACUUACAUGCUUGAAGAUUUCCAUAAUCUCACCUGUUGAACUCCCUUUCUUUACCUUUGUUAACCUUUAGGGAAAAAGAGCCUUAGGAAUGUAAGUUGGUGGGCCACUUUCUUCUUGAUCAUUAGGUGAUGAAGCUUGUGAUGGAACUAAAUCUACAGAAGUAUGUUCAAAUGUCUUUCUUGUUCGAACCUCCACCUUAUUGUCAAAUAAUUUUCCUCUUCUUAAGGUCAUAAUAGAUUUUGCUUCUUCAUGCAGAUGGCUCGAACUUGAUCCAACUUCAUGCACUCUUUUAAGAUUAGGAAUUGGUUGACUUGAGAAUUUUUCUUUUUCUCUCUCAGCCACAGUAGUUGCUAAUUGACCCAAUUGAUGUUCAAGCUUUAGAAUAGCUUGAGUGUUUGACUGAAAGGCUUGUUGGAUAGACUGAAUGAAACUUUGAAGUGUAUCCUCUAAAGAAGGUUUUCUUUAUUGGAGUGCAACAAAUUGAGACAUAGGCUGUUGGGCAAGGGGAUAUAGUUGGUUAGAAGGGACAAAUUGUUGAUUGGGCAUGUUAAAUUGUUGCCCUCCUUGGUUCGACAAAGGUUGAUUUUGUUUUCAAGAAAAAUUAGGUUGAUUCCUCCAAUUAGGAUUAUAUGUCGAUGAAUAUGGACUAUUGAAGGAUUUUUCAUACGACUGUAAAACAUGUACCUGCUCAGAAUAAGCCUUUGGAUAGGCUGGUAAUGAUGGACAAUUAUGUGUUGUAUGAGAUAAGUUAGAAUAAAGAGCACAAAUCUCAUUAGCUACACUAGGAUGGUGAUUCAUUGAUUGGUUCAGAGCUAAGACAUCUACUUUCCUAGAAAGAGUAGCUAGAGUGGCGUUCACAUCAAAAUCAUCCUUAACUUCAUAUAGACCCUUUUUAGAAACUUGAGAUGAUUUUUCCCUUUGAUUUGAAAAAUUUCACUGUUGAGAAUUUUCAGAAAGUGAAUUAAAGAAAUCUCAUGCAGCCCCUUCAUGUAGGUUCAAAAAUCUCCCACCAUUCAUAGACUCCACCAUAUGAUGAUUUGACAUGGUUAAACCAUUAUAAAAGCAUUGUAUAAGUCUCCAUUUCUCAAAACCAUGGUGGGGACACUUAAGGAAUAAAUCAUUAAAUCUUUGCCAACACUCAUAAAAUUGCUCACCCUCUCUUUGAUAAAAACAACUUAUCUCUCUCAUAAGGGCAUUUGUUUUAGAUAUAGAGAAAAACUUGGUGAGGAACUUAUUACUCAAUUCAUCUCACGUAGUAUUAGACCCAUCAGGAAGUGAAUUCAACCAAGCUUUCACUUUGUCUUUUAAUGAGAAAGUGAACAUACGAAGCGUAAUUGACUCUUCAUUAAAAUUUUAAAAACAGAAUGUAGAGCAUAUGUCAAGAAAUUCCUUAGUUUGCAAAUAUGGAUCCUCUUUCUCUAACCCUUGGAAAAAUGGUAAAAGUUGAAUGACAGAGGGCUUAAGUUCAAUGUGUGUUGCUGUAGUUUGUGGCAACACAAUACAAGAUGGUUGAUUGGUUGCAAGUGGUGAAAAAUAAUCUCUAGGGGUUUUCUAUGCUUGCACUGGUGGUAGUAUUGGCAAUAUUCUAUUUGGGUCAUCCAUCACUUGAGAAGAACUAGCUUGACUACUAUCAAUUUUAGACUCUUUUUUUACUAAACGAUUUGUUGAAUCGCUUUUCCAAACACUCAUAAACUAACUAGACAAAGAAGAAAAAUAAAACAACAAUAAUAAAAAUAAAUAAAAUUUAAAAGAAAUCAAAUAACCAAACAAGAAUUCAAAGUAAAAAAUAAUAAUUUUUUUGUGUUUUUUUAUAAAAAAAUUAAAUAAAUAAAUAAAAGACAACCUAAAUUAUAACUAGUUGAAGAAUCAAAUCAACUUAGAUUAAACUAACUUUCUAGCACAAACUUCGGCAACAGCGCCAAAAACUUGUUGUGAAAAAUUUUAAUAUACUCGCAAGCGCACGAAUCUAGAGAUAGUAUAGUGGUAACGAGGUCGAACCCACAUGAAUUGUUAUAAAUUGAAAAGUCUAAUUUAAAUCUAAAAUUAAUAUUAAUUCAAACCUAGUUGAGCAAAUUGAGUUUUAAAGAAAAUUAAACUAAUUAAAUAAGAAAACAAUUAAAGUAAAUGAGAAUUCAAUAAGACAAAAAUUACUAAGGUUUCAGAAUCCAUCACUAUUCAACUAGUAAUUAUUUAAAUAUUAAUUAAUUCCCAAUUUUAGAGUGAUAACUCGAAAUCAAUUUAUAUCAUCUCAUAAAUAUAACAAUUGAGCUCAAAUAAAAUUAAUCUUAUGUAUGUUCUUUUUCUGCUUGAUAGUAUGACAUCUAAGCAUCCCAUAUAAAUAUAUUGAAUAACAAAGAGUCAAAGUUUUCAUAAGCACUUUAUAUAAACAAUUUAAUGAAAAAUAUAAAAUCAAAGAUAAUCAUAUAUAAACUUUAUAGAUCCAAACAUAGAUUUAGUCAAAUAUUAAUCUUCACAAUCAAUAAUACAUGACAGAGUUGGUGAAAAAAAUUUAAUAGCAUCCAACUAAUCAUGUGAAACAAGAACUAUAAAUAUUAAAACACACAUGUAGAAAAUUAAUUAAAUAAAGAGAUAAUUACUUUAUUUAAUAGAGUUUCAUCCUUAAUCUCAAUAUAAGAAAAUUAAUUAAAUAUACUUAAAUUGAGAGCAACAAAAUAAAUAACACCAGCCAUGAAAACUGAACAGCUGCUAUCGCUCCUGUCUUCUCUCCUGAAUCGCGUCUCCUUUUGCUUCCUUUUUCAUCUGGCGCCUUCCCCCUUUUUGGUCCAAAAGUUAAAAAGCUUGGUUAUAUAGUCUUCAAAAUGAGCCCCGCCUUUUCAAUUCUAAAGCCAAAAGGCUUUGGCGUUUUAUUUGUUUUGCUCUCACACGCCAAAUCUUUUGUAUAUUAUUUCCUUAUUAAAAGUGGAAAUCUAGCCACACGUUUGACUUCCAAAGCAAAAGGUCAAUUAAUGAUUUCUUCCUUUAAUACCCAGCCCAUGCAUUCCAAAUUGCUAAAUAAAAUCUUUCUUUAAUUAUCUUAAGCUCAUGCGGAAGCUUUGGAAUAUAAUCUUUAAUUCUUCAAUUCUUUCCUCUUAUGGAUCUUUUAUGUAUUUUUUUGUUUAUAAUCUCAAAUUAAUUCCCUAUUCAGUAAAACAAUUCAAUUAAUUAAAAAUAAGAAAUAAAAUAACUAGUAAAUAUACAAUAAAAGGUAAUAUAUAUAUAAAUUAUACUCAUCACUUAUCUUCCUCUGAGAGUUCUUUCCAAGUGAAAUUUGCUCCACGGUCUUACAAUGGAGCUGCACAUCAUCUCGCUAAAUUAGCUCUUUGUAAUUCCAUCGAAAAAGUUUGGUUAGAAGAAAUUCCAACUGUAUGUAAAGACAAAUCGCUGUAAUCAUUUUUCUAUUAAUAAAAUUUUAAUUUAAAAAAAACUAAAUGUUAGUUGAUGCUAUUCAUAACUAAUUAUUUUUAUAAUAGAAUUAACAAUAAAUAUUUUUAAAAACUACUUUACUAUCAAAUUAGCCCUUAAAUUGCCAUCUAAAUUUCAUGGAAUGAAAUUUUGAUUAAGUAAUGGUUGUUGCCCUCCUCAUUAAAGAAAAUAUUGUGAAAAAAUGAAUAAUGCUACACAACCUAAGUUUUUAUCACAAAAGCUAUCUCAAUUAACAUUCAACAAUUAAUUAAUAAGAUAAUGUCAUUAUUAUGAAAAAUUAUCAAUAUUUAAUGAAUAACAUAUCAAUUACAAUAAAAUUUGAGAUGAAUAUCUUUUAUCCAAAACAAAUUUAGUUGGGUGCUUGCGCGAUUGUGACGGAAGCAAUGACUUAUCCUGGAGAUGGAAGAGCCUGGAAUGUUUUAUAACAUCACUUUAUUUUUUAUUUUUUAUUUUUUAUUUUGAACACGAAGUGGCCAGGAGAAGAUCAUAUAUUUCUGGAAAGAAAAGACACCAAUAUUAGCCACGUACGGUCAUCUCAAACAUUUGCUAAGUCCAAACCGAUUAGCGCAAACUUUUCGCUAUAAAUAUGCACUCUCGUAACUUCACUUUCGGCGUGUUUAUCGUGUCUUUUCAUUUAUUCACUGUUGAUUCUUAGUAAGCUUCUGUAAUAAUGGCGGACGAAGUGAUUCUGUUGGAUUUCUGGCCCAGCAUGUUCGGGAUGAGGGUCAGGAUUGCUCUGGCGGAGAAAGGCGUCAAGUAUGAAUACAAGGAAGAGGACUUGAAGAACAAGAGCCCCCUGCUUCUGCAGAUGAACCCGGUUCACAAGAAGAUCCCGGUUCUCAUCCACAACGGCAGACCGGUCUGUGAGUCAUCCAUCAUUGUUCAGUACAUUGAUGAAGUGUGGAAGGACAAGGCUCCAUUGCUUCCCUCUGAUCGCUACCAGAGAGCUCAAGCUAGGUUCUGGGUAGAUUUCAUUGACAAGAAGGUAACUUAGUUGUUGAUUUUAUGAAGUGUGUUUAUGGGUAUUUUUUCAAUUUUAGAUUUAAUUGUAAUUUUAUUAAAAUAGAAGCCGAAAUUUUGUUAUUAAAAUAUUUCAUUGUCGAGUAGAUAUCAUGGAUUUGUUGUUUGAUUACAAAUAAACUGGGUUUGCAUUGAACGGAGGGGGAAAAGAUGUCCCCUAUAGAGUUGAAGAUUUUGGUUUUUACAGCACUAUGAUGCAGAUAUUAUAAACUUUAGUAGGUUUUAGUUGUAGCUUAAGAUCAGUAAAGGGCCCAACGAUGAGGAUCAGAGUGAGAGUACUAUAAACUAGAUUAGGCUGAAUAUUUGCAGUUAAAGUCUAGUUUCAGUAGUAAGUGUAGUAAGUAGUGGCCUUCUUAAUGUUUAUUUCUUGGCUUCAGCUUUAGUGGGUGUGUGAGUUUAUAGAUUUUUUUUUUUUUAAGGAAUAGCUUGAUAUUUGGGAGUUCUAUAUUUUUGAGAUAGUAGAAUCUUUUGUCUUGAAAAUAAUUAAAGAGAAACAAGCGAUUAAGCUGAAUUUUUAGGUGAAAAUCUUAAAAUAUGCUUAGAAUUCAACUUGCUCCUUUAUUUUUUUUGGAUGUUUUUGGCCUGUACAUAAUUUUACAGCAGGCUGUAAGACUGUAACCUACCUGUUGCUGAUUUUGUUGUCUUGAGAGGGAUGAGGAACCUGAAUGUGUUAAAUUUUAUCCAUUUUCAGCCAGAUUUUCUGAUACAAAUAUUGAAAGUAAAUUGCAGAUGUAUGAUGCUUCGACGAAGACAUGGACCACAGAGGGAGAAGAGCAGGAGGCGGCUAAGAAGGAGUUCUUUGAAGCUCUGAAGACCUUGGAAGGGCAGCUUGGAGACAAGCCUUUCUUCGGAGGAGACAAUUUUGGGUAUUUGGAUUUGAGUUUGAUCCCAUUCUAUUACACAUAUGAGACAUUUGGAAAGUCCAGCAUUGAGGCUGAGUGCCCCAAGUUCAAAGCUUGGGUGAAGAGAUGCUUGCAGAGGGAGACUAUUGCCAAGGCACUUCCUGAUGAGAAGAAAGUGCUUGAACAUGCUUCAGGGAUGAGGAAAAAUUUAGUAUUGGAGUAGAGAGAAAAAGGGACAUAUCUAGGAGCUGAGAAUAGGUCAAGUAGCGCAACCGUGCUGCCUGCUUAUUCUUUAGGUGGUUGAUGUUGGUUUGGCUUAUGAUAGUUGUUUUCCUAUUGUGUGUUUGUAUCCAGAUUUGUUGUGUUUCCCUUGUAAAAUAAGCUCCAAUAAAGGAUAAUUAAUUUUGUCCCCGACUGUUAUCUUAGAGUAUUGUAAUCACAAAGAUCACAACGUUGAUAAUUAUUAUAUAAAUGUUAUCACGUGCAGAAAUUGAUUGGACAUUAGAGAAAAUUAUUUGGAUAGUUCAUAUAAUUAUUUUGGUUAGCAGUUAUUAUUUUUCAGCCAAACCUUUCUAUCACAUUAUUUUCCACAAAUUUAUUUCUACGAAGUGUUCUUUGGCUAAUCUUAGGGGGUUGAUGUACUUGGCUUACUUGUAUUCAUAUGAUGUGACUAUUUGUAUUGGGUUGAGUUUCUCUUCCUCGAAGAUGCUUUUGUCAUUUUCCCUUCUAGAUAAACUGCAAUAAAGGACAAUUGAUUUUGGGAGCUGGCUAAGUUACAGAUUCUGUAACAUACAGAUCCAACUUCGCCAGCUCCUGAUUGGUUAGCUGGCUACCAAACAAAAACAAUUGCAUUUUUUUUUCCAUAUGCAGGACAGGUGUGGUGCAUGCAUUGGGUGUGUAUGUUACAGAAUCUCUAAGGUAGACAGGUCCUUGAUUUUGUCCAAUGUCCUUACCACCGCAUCUUGUUUUUCUUGAUCCUUUCGUGUUCGGUGAGCGGAAAGUUACUGACCUAAGAGAAAGAGCAUGAUUCCCGUGAAAAGUUCAAUGAACCCCAUGAAAAGUUCAAAUAUAUUAAGAAGUUUGGCGAAUAAAAGAAAAGAGUUUGUUCAAGUACGCUAAUAAAUUAGUGUGUUCGUUCUCUCUCUUUUUAGUUCUCUCUUUUUUUUGCUUUAUGUAAUCGUCCAAUGUCCCCGAUAUUAAAUUGUAUUUAUUCUUUUUAUAUUUGUGGAAGACAUGUUUACUCUUCAAUUAACAAUUCUAUAAAGUCGCUCUCAGCCAAAUCUUUUAUCGUAUAUGUUGUAGACAAUUUCUAAGAUUUUCUUUGGUAUCAUGGGAGAGGUAGUGAAUUAAAGUUUGUUUUGAAUUGUCCACCUCCUAAUCAAAAAAUAAUAAUAUCAUAAAAUUUCUGACAAAAAUCUUCUCCUGCUGCAUUUUUUUUUAAUGGCUUUCUUUUUUGGCUUUUUUAUUUUGUGAGAUUAUUUGUCGUUUUAUUUAUUUGGUGUGCUUGAUUAGUUUAUUCAUAAUUAUUAAAUGGGUAGUGUAUUAUCGUAAAAAUAAACAUAAAAUCUAAAUUUUUAACUAAUAUGUGAGAACUGAAAUGUGUUUAUGAUAUUGAUGCUAACAAAAAAAUAAAAAUAAAAUCUACUUUGAAUCUAACAAAAAAAAAAAGAUUUCCAACUGAUGUAAACGGAGAAACUAAACUUGAAUCCAUUCUCACAGUGUUUAAUUUUUAUCAAAAUUUGUAUGCUGAGAAUUCGGAUUCUACACCGGUCUUUCCAUUGGUAAUGUUAUCACGAAGCUAGUCCUGAAGAUAAUGAAAUGCCAACUAUUGUUCCUAAUGUGUCUGGAAAAAGGAUGGGUUUUUUUGGUUUAGAUGCCUCUAGUGCCCCAAGUCUCAAAUGGUUUUCCUGGCUUAUUUUUCCAUUGGUUUUGGGAUAUUAUUGAGAAUGAUCUUAUUUAGUAUAUUCAUUCAUUUUAAAGCAGGGCGUGAUCCUCCUGAACUUUGUGGCUUUGAUUCAGAGAUUGCACGGAGCCACUGAGGUUGGUCAAUUUCGUCCCAUUGUUGUUGUCAACUUCCUUUUCAAAAUCAUUCAUAAAAUAUUGGCCGACAGAUUAAGCCUGAUUAUGUCAAACCUGGCCUCUCCUCAGCGAGUUGCCUUUGUAAAAGGUAGACACAUUCAAUGUAGUACAUGUAUGGUUCUGGAAGAUAUUAUCCUUUUGGAUCGAAAAUCUUUUGGUAGAAAUUUGGGCCUAAAUAUUGAUACGCCAAGGCUUUAGGUACUCUCCAAUGGGAAUUUCUUCUACGGGCUCUGACUCAGUUUGGCUUUCACUCGACUUUUAUUGGUUAUCUAUCUUGAUUAAUGGAUCUGUCCAGCGGUUCUCUUCUUGUAGUAGGGGUGUCCGCCGUGGUGAUCCGCUUUCCCGUUGCAAAUGUGAUUUAUUUUAGGAAAAUUUUAAUUCCAUCCUCAAAAUCAUACAAUACAAGAACUUACAAUCAUUUUAAACCAAUCCACAUUCGAUUUGGAUCAUGUGGAUCUUGGGUCAGAUCCAAUCUAUUGCCAUCCCUAUGUUCAAUAAGGUGGAAUGAGAAAUGCGAGUCCUAACAAAAGGUUGGGAUUCAAACCUUUAAAUAAAGCCGUGUGACGAUAGGGUUGAUGUUAAAUUAUAAGUUUCUUUUCGACAUUAUCAUUUUAUUCCUUAAUUAUUUUUCUAAAUUAUUCUACAACCAACGUUUUUUAAUAAUUAUUUUUAAUAUCUAAUGUUUUAGUUUUUAUUAUUUUACGACUAAAUGAUUAAUGUUACUAAGAAAUUGCCGAUGUUAUAAGGAUAUCUUAAGAAAUUUGUUCCAGCAUUCAAGGUUCUUUAUUUUUUGGGCAAGUUUUGUACUUGGGCUUUUGGGGUGGGGGUGUAAGGAAAAUUACCAACUUGACCUUUAGUCCUAGUGUUAUUUUUGAUUAUUUAGUAAAAUUCUUUUUUUGGAGGAGAGCGAUGGAUUGUUAGUGUGGCUGAUUUGGAAUGGAGGUCAUUGUUAGGUUUCAUUUGUAUAUUUGUUGGAAUCUGGUAUAUCUUAACCAAGAUUUUUGCAUGGGCUCGUCGUGCACUUGUAGGGUUUAAGGAGGCUGACUUAUCUUAUAGUUUAGGUGCUUUGUCUGUUUUUGGUUUCAUUGCUUGUUGCUUUGUCUGGUUUAAUAAUACUGCUUAUCCUAGUGAGUUUUAUGGUCCAACUGGGCCAGAAGCUUCUCAAGCUAAAGCAUUUACUUUUCUGGUUGGAGACCAAUGUCCUGGGGCUAAUGUGGGAUCCUUGAGUCAAAACUACUAUAAUAUUUAUAUUUAAAAUAAUUAAUUGAUAAAAGUGUUAUUUCUUUGUAUAUAAUUAAUUUUAUAUUUUUUAAAUUCAGAGGUAAAUUUGUACCUACACAUUUUAGGGAAAAUAAACUUUUACCGUAACUUUUAAGGAAAAGGAUAUGUGCACUCUUAAAACUUGGAAAAAAGGGUCAUUACACCCCCAAGUCUCAAAAAAGGGGCACCAAGACCUUCUUUUGACUAUAAUAUCGUUUAUCUCUAUUAUCACGAAAAAAUGAACUCUAAUGUAUUAUAACAACAUUAAAUAAAAUAUGAUAAUAUAUACAUUUUAAAAUAUUUUCAAUAUUUACAAAUAUUUUAAUAUUUUAUAGUCUAUUAGAUAUUAUGUAAAAUAAUAAUUUUAGCAUUAUUAGUAUGUGACUUUCUUUUUAAUUGCAAAAUGUAGCGUAAUGUAAAUGUUUAUUUAAAAUCCUACAAUAAAUAGAAAUAUAUUACUAAAAUAAAUAUAAUAAUUUACAUAUUUAAAUUUAUUAAAAUAUUUUAAUAUUGUUAGUCUACUGCAUAAAUUACAUUAUUUAUAUAAUAUUCAUAUUUAUAAAAAAAAAUUAAAGUCAAUUUUUUUGGAUAAUAAAGAUAAAGUGCAUAAUGGUUAAAUGGUGGUCUUGGUAUCUCAUUUUAAAUACUUGGGGUCUUGUUGACCAUUUCCUCAAAUUUUAGAGUAUAAAUGUUUUUUUUUCUUAAUUUCUAUUAAAAAUCCUGCUUUUUUUUUAUUGAUGGUAAAAUGAAAGAAAUUAAAAUUUUAAGUUAAGAAAAGCAAUUGGCAAUAAAUUUUAGUGAUAAAGUGAUAUGUUUGGAAAGAUUUUGUGCUAAUAUAUAUAUAUAUAUAUAUAUAACCGUAAGGUAGAUUGCUCUUUUGACACAAAUACAAGGUUAUUUGAGUAGUUGAGAUUUCACACAUAUUGCGUAUAAAAUAUUCUACUUAAUUACCUUCUGGUUUCCACAAAAAAAAAUAAUAAAUAAAUAAGAAAAUAUAAUGGAAAUAUGACAUUGAAAAUCUGAAAUGAAAUCAAAUCUCUUUCCGUAGCUGAUGGCUAAAUUGGUGGUGUCUAAAACAGUCCAAUAACUAGAUCAAAUGAGCUAUAGUUUCCCCAAAGAAUUUUCUAUAUGAUCAUUAGAACUCUAACCAUUAUCAUAAAUUUGAUUAUCAUUUAGCCCUCCGAAGAUUUAGCGCUUUUAUUUUUUAUUUUUUUUGUCCUAAGGUCUAGCUCAACCAAACAUAAAAUUGUUGGUUUUGAUUAAAAAAAUGAAGACAAUAUUAUUACAAGAAAGCUUUCUAAUAUUUUCUUCUUGGUUUUGAGAACCACAAAAAAAAGAAAAAAAUAAAAAAUAAAAAAGAGAAAACUGGUUCGAAACUGUUAAAAUAUCUUGUUCUCACAAGGAGGAUUCCUUCUCCCUCGACAACAAUGCCAUAUUAUUUUUAUAUAAAAUUUUUUUUAUAAUUAAUUAAUUAAUAAGCCUAGCAAAACACUAAUAAUUGCACUUCAACUCAAUUUGUCUAAAUUUUGAAUAAAUGUGAACAUGAAUUCUUUUUAACAGCAACAUAAAAAAUCUCAAAAAAAUUAUUUUUAUGCAUUCAUCUUUCUAAGGUCCCACCCAUUAAGGACUGUCGGCUAUGGCAGCCUAAAUACUAUUUGUGAAUAUAAAGUUCAAAUAAAACAGAAAAUGUGUCAUUUAUUUUGAUUAUGUAGAUUUAAUUUCAGUACUAAUAAAGUAGAAAAUAAAUAAGUUAGAUUAUUUGAAACUAAUUUUUAAAUGUACCAAAAUUCCUCAAAUACCAAUUAUUAUUAUUAUUUUUUUACAAUAAUAUAAUUAGAAAUCUACCUAGAUUAACGUAAUGUCUUAUUUGUUUAAGCUGUUCGGCAGCUGGGCUGCCAGCUGCCAAGCAUUUGAUAAAAACUUAGAUUUGGCAUGCAGCUAUUUUUGUUGAAUUAACUAAUUAAAUUCUCAUUAAUUGUUUAAUUUGAUUAUGUAAAAGCACAUGUUUUGAACAAUUGGACCUUUUUUUAUAAGGAAAAAUAAUUAAAUUAAAAUUAUGUUCAAUAUCUCGGUCAAUUAAUAAUGAUCCAGGUAUUUAUAUGAAUAAAGGAUUAAAUAUUUCUAGAAAAAUGAAAAAACGACAACACAAAUUAGCUGUCACCGGGACCAGGUAUUGUUCGUAGCACACACGGCAUCUCAAAUAUUGUUCAAAUCUAAAAACGACCUGCAGCAAACUGAACGCUAUAAAAUACACACUCUCAUAAAACCUGACUUUUCGAUAUUCAUCGUUUCAUUUAUUCACUCACUCGCCCUUAAUUCUCAGUAAGGUUCUGUGACAAUGGCGGACGAAGUGAUUCUAUUGGAUUUCUGGGCCAGUAUGUUUGGGAUAAGGGUCAGGAUUGCUCUGGCAGAGAAAGGCGUCAAGUAUGAGUACAAAGAACAGGACUUGUUCAACAAGAGCCCGCUGCUUCUGCGGAUGAAUCCCGUCCACAAGAAGAUCCCGGUUCUUAUCCAUAAUGGCAAAUCGGUCUGUGAGUCAUCCAUCAUUGUUCAGUACAUUGAUGAAGUCUGGAAGGACAAGGCUCCAUUGCUUCCCUACGAUCCUUACCAAAGAGCUCAAGCGAGGUUCUGGGUCGAUUUUAUUGACAAGAAGGUAACUUGUUGAUUUUCUGAUAGAUGUUUAUGAGAAUUCUGUUUCUCUUUCAGAUCUAAUUGGUCUCUUAACUAAACUAAAGUAAUUAGCUUGCAAAGAAGCUGAAACUUUCAGAUUAAAAUAAUCAAUUUCAAGAUGAGAAUUCUGUUUCUCUUUCAGAUCUAAUUGAUCUCUUAACCAAGCUAAAGUAAUUAACUUAUAUAGAAGCUGAAACUUUCAGAUUAAACUAAAGUAAUUAACUUAAUGUUUAUGAGAAUUCUGUUCUGGGUUCUUUUUUUUUAUUACCAAAAAAAAAAAAAAGAUCCAUAUUGUUGAUGCAAGCUGUGGCAUAAUCACGAUUUUGAUUCGACGGGGCUAUAAUACAAAUAUCAUAAACUUGAGUAGACUAUGAUGUAAAUUCAGAAAAAAAUGUGAAGGCCAAUGAUGAGGAGCAAUGAAUUAUGAUCAAAAUGGAGAAGUCAUGAACUUGAGUUUAUCAUAAAAUAUGCAUACUACUAAGAAAACUUAAAUUCAGUCCUUUAUUUUGGCUCUGUAAGACUUGCACCCCUCGGCUGCUGAUAUUGUUGUCUUGAGAUGGAUGCUAAAAGUGCUAAAUUUUGUAUAUUACAAAUAAACUUUUUGAUACAUUAUUAAAAGUAAAUUGCAGAUGUACGAUACUUCGAGGAAGACAUGGGCCACAAAGGGAGAAGAGCAGGAGGCAGCAAAGAAGGAGUUCAUCGAAGUUCUGAAGACCUUGGAAGGGGAGCUUGGAGACAAGCCUUUUUUCGGAGGAGACAACUUUGGGUAUGUGGAUUUGUGUUUGAUCCCGUACUAUUGUUGGUUUUAUUCGUAUGAGACAUUUGGAAAGUUCAGCGUUGAGGCUGAGUGCCCC
rnacentral:lncRNA from 1 species